UAGGGAAUCUUCCACAAUGGACGCAAGUCUGAUGGAGCAACGCCGCGUGAGUGAAGAAGGUCUUCGGAUCGUAAAGCUCUGUUGUUGGUGAAGAAGGAUAGAGGCAGUAACUGGUCUUUAUUUGACGGUAAUCAACCAGAAAGUCACGGCUAACUACGUGCCAGCAGCCGCGGUAAUACGUAGGUGGCAAGCGUUGUCCGGAUUUAUUGGGCGUAAAGCGAGCGCAGGCGGAAUGAUAAGUCUGAUGUGAAAGCCCACGGCUCAACCGUGGAACUGCAUCGGAAACUGUCAUUCUUGAGUGCAGAAGAGGAGAGUGGACUCCAUGUGUAGCGGUGGAAUGCGUAGAUAUAUGGAAGAACACCAGUGGCGAAGGCGGCUCUCUGGUCUGCAACUGACGCUGAGGCUCGAAAGCAUGGGUAGCGAACAGGAUUAGAUACCCUGGUAGUCCAUGCCGUAAACGAUGAGCGCUAGGUGUUGGGGACUUUCCGGUCCUCAGUGCCGCAGCAAACGCAUUAAGCGCUCCGCCUGGGGAGUACGACCGCAAGGUUGAAAC
rnacentral:rRNA from 1 species